rnacentral:rRNA from 1 species
GUGGGGAAUUUUGGACAAUGGGGGCAACCCUGAUCCAGCCAUGCCGCGUGAGUGAAGAAGGCCUUCGGGUUGUAAAGCUCUUUCGGUGGGAACGAAACGGUGCGUGCUAACACCACGUACUAAUGACGGUACUCACAGAAGAAGCACCGGCUAACUACGUGCCAGCAGCCGCGGUAAUACGUAGGGUGCGAGCGUUAAUCGGAAUUACUGGGCGUAAAGCGUGCGCAGGCGGUUAUUUAAGUCAGGUGUGAAAGCCCUGGGCUUAACCUAGGAAUUGCGCUUGAGACUGGAUAGCUUGGAGUGUGGCAGAGGGAGGUGGAAUUCCACGUGUAGCAGUGAAAUGCGUAGAGAUGUGGAGGAACACCGAUGGCGAAGGCAGCCUCCUGGGCCAGCACUGACGCUCAUGCACGAAAGCGUGGGGAGCAAACAGGAUUAGAAACCCGUGUAGUCC